ACCCGCUGAACUUAAGCAUAUCAAUAAGCGGAGGAAAAGAAACCAACAGGGAUUGCCUCAGUAACGGCGAGUGAAGCGGCAACAGCUCAAAUUUGAAAUCUGGCCUUUACGGUCCGAGUUGUAAUUUGUAGAGGAUGUUUUGGGUACCGCCGCGGUUUAAAUUUCUUGGAACAGAAUGUCAGAGAGGGUGAGAGUCCCGUCUUGGAUCGCGGUAGGGCCUGUGUAAAACUCCUUCGACGAGUCGACUUGUUUGGGAAUGCAGGUCAAAAUGGGUGGUAAAUUUCAUCUAGAGCUAAAUAUUGGCCAGAGACCGAUAGCGCACAAGUAGAGUGAUCGAAAGAUGAAAAGCACUUUGAAAAGAGAGUUAAACAGUAUGUGAAAUUGUUGAAAGGGAAGCGCUGGCAACCAGACUCGUGCGCGGGGUUCCCCCUUGCUUCUGCUUGGGUUAUUUCCCCGUGUCUGGGCCAUCAUCAGUUUUGGGGGCCGGUUAAAGGUCUUGGGAAUGUAUCUACUCCUUCGGGGGUAGACUUAUAGCCCAGGGCGUCAUGCGGCCACCCGGGACUGAGGAACGCGCUUCGGCGAGGAUGAUGGCGUAAUGGUUGU
rnacentral:rRNA from 1 species